AGAGAAAAACAGGUUUCCACUCCUGGAUGUAUCAAAUCUUAGUCAUUUCAUUUACCUGAAAAAAGGCUUGAUCACAUAUUAAACUGUUAUUCUGUCUCCUUAUGCUGCCAUAGGGAUAGCUAGUUUUUUUCUUUCACUUUUGACAUUUGGGAUGAAAAGCCAUAUGUAUCAUAAAUAUCAGAUGUAAGUCAUUAAGAACUGCCUUCCUGGGACUUUUACAUCCUUUAAAAGGUGAAUCACUUACCUUAUGUACAGAAUAAAUAACACUCAGAAAAGAGCAAGUAUUUUUCCAUGCAUUCUCAAGGGACCUUUUUACUCCCCUUUGUUUGACUAACGAGGGCCCCGAUGCCAAGUACAAUUCAGGCUGGGGCAAUGGUAGAGCAGGAAGGAGACACCCAGUGAUAGAUAAUGGUUUCUUGUAGGAGCUGACGUGCUCAAUAAAUCAGAAUGUAGGAGGAUAGAGCCACAGUUGAUUCAAGAAAGACAAAAGCUAGCGACCACAUUUAAAUUGCUGGCACAGCUGCAUGAUGCUCUGUCCCAAAGCAGAUGGCUGGCAGGAAAGGUCUAACAUAGGUAACCCUCUUAAAUGUACAGCCAAUUCCUAUAGGUAGAUGAGAGACAGGGGAGAGAGCUUCUCCCUUCAUUUCAAGAUUGGAAGGAGGCGGCUGCAACAGUAAGCCAAACACAUUGCAGUAGUUAAUUUCUUUCUUUUCUUUCCUUUUUUUUUUUCUUUAAAAAAAAAAAAAACAAACCUGUUAUUCAUCAAGGGAGGGAAGAUAGAUAGAUACCUUUUCCCCAAUAUGCAACUAUCAGAUGUUUUAUGCAUGCAAAUUAUGUUUUAAGAACAUAGUUCUGAAGAAUUGGCCAACUUUACCAUAACCAAAUUCUGGUAUGGGUAGACUAGCCUUGGGCUCAUGUGAACGUAUUUGGGAUAUUUAUUUAGAAAUCCACUGAUAGAACAGGGGGUAGAAAGGAGGGGGGAAAUCUGUCAUAUCUUUAGCAUCUCUUUUUAAAAGGUGUUUUUAUGGUGAAUGUUUUGGGUUUAGAUUUUUGAUCCCCUGUCCCCUCCAGCAUGAUGGUUUUGGAGAUUUGCUUGCUGUGUGACUGACAAGCACUUUUACUGACAAAAAAUGGUGAGGCUCUGUCAGAACCUCCACCUCACCCCACACCAAAGACAGGGGCAGUGCAGUAUUCCAACCAGCAAUGGGUGGGCAGUCAAUGUAUACAUGUAAAUUCAAAAGUCCUGUGAGUGGAAGUAUUUUUUUUCAAAUUAUUUUUGUCCUUAUGUAUUUGAUUUAUAUAUGACAUCUAGUUAUCUCUUUAUAUAUAAUUAUAUAUAUAAACCAUAUAUAUACAUAUAUAUAUAAAUAUAUAUAUUUAUAUAUAUGUAUACAUGUCCCCUAGUUUUGGAUCAUGAGAGAUCUUCAUGCAUUCUUUGCAAAGGAGGUUAUGAGGUUACGCCUUCAGAACAUUGAUAACUAUAAGAAUGUGCCAGUUAAAGUGCUCAACAGGAAAUGACAGUUUCAAAGCAUUGUAAAACUCACAUAGCUUACUUCUCUCUCUAAAGUGCAACAAGGAUGACUAGAAUGGGCCAAGGUAUGACAAUUAAUGGUUCUGCAUGACCUAGCCACUGCUGGGGGUUUUCUUCUAUAACGUUGUCCUUGUGAAACUUUUGUGGAAUUAAAAAAAAAAAGGAGUU
rnacentral:lncRNA from 1 species